ensembl:lncRNA
UGGAAGGUGGAGACUUAAAGAAUUUGGUAACACUAAUUUGAUGUUUUAAAAAUAGAAGAUUUUAAUUUUAAUCGACUGACAGAGCAAAACUUCUUUCCAUUUUUACAUCAUCCUCUGCCGUAAUGGAGAAGAUAAAGAUUGAAAAGCCGCUACCAGCCUUACAAGAACUCCUUCACUCCGUUCAGCUCAUCCAUGAAGGAUGACCCUUUGUGUUUGGGUGAUCCAUCAUUCAUUGGCCAUUGAGAGUUAAAAGAAAGUGCGUGUUACUUCUGCCUCUUCUCAGGCACCUACAGAUCUGAGAUCAAAGCAUUUCCAAAUUGGGAUUUUUCAGCCUCAGGGUAACAGGUAAGGUGUUCAGUCUCAACUAUUCACAAAAAAUAGCCCUAAAAAUUCAAAUCUUUAUAUAAAAAAUGCACUGUUUUUAAUGAAGUUGGACAACAAGCUCCCAGACAGAGAGGUUAUUCUUUUUUUUUAGCAAUUCUCAGACCCUGUGCUGAUCUAAAGAUGUAUUACGUAUCUUGGAGCACAUCUGCCCUGCAGGCUGCAGUGGGAUGAGCCGGCCUGCUGCUGCUCCCCGCUGCUCCCCUGCUAUCUGCCAUCCCCACUCUGCUGCCUUUGGGCAGCACGGCAGAGCAUGAUCAAGUUUGAGGAAUGGAGCUCAUCACUAGAGACACAGCCUUUGCCAUAAACUGGUGUUUCUUCUGCUCUCUCUGUGGUGCUCUGCCUGGAUGGCAUGUCACCAAAAUCCAGGGGUGCCCCAGAGCUUGGGGAUGGCGUGCUGCUGAGGAGUGCACCUGAGCAAAGCUGUGAUGGUAUUCUCUUCUCUUUGCCAACAUAUGGGACAGACAGUUCCUUUUUUGUGACUUCGGAACAAAGGCCUUACAAUGCAUUUGAUGUGCAAUGUGCUUCAGAAGAAUUUGGAAGUAGCCGUAUGAACAAUUUAUAGUGGUUGGCAUGUUGCAGUGAAAUAUUUAUAGAGGUACUAUAUUCCAGUGAGUUAUGUUGCUGGUUCCUGCAACUCGAAUGAUAAAAAUGUCCUUUGUAAUCUACAGAAAAGAGACUCAUCAGUGCUGUGGAUAUAAGAUUUGCAACCAAUACUGCCAUCGUCUAUCUGGAGCACAGGAAAUUGGCAAACACCUUUCCUACAAUAAAUCCCCAAUAUGGCACAUAUGGUGGAGGUGGUGGCACAGUUCACCUGCGCACACAGAGCCAGGACACCUUGGGAAUAAUGGAACCAUGUCCGAUAAUGAAGACAAGCCAAUUCAUCUCAUACUCCCUUGCAAAUCCCAGCCCUGGGUUAAUCACUCAGAUGAUUAGGAGCUGGAAGCAGACUGGUGGAAGAUUUUAAUUCUGUUUGUUGAGAAUUGUAAACAUAAUUGAUUUACAUUUCUCUUCAAUAAGUUAAUUUGAGAGAGCAUUCCCAUCGAGAAUAAUAUCAGAUUCAAGGCUAUAUGGCUUACAAACUUCAGUGACUCCACUGGAGAAAAUACAGAUCACUCCUUGCUGCAAAAGGAUGAAAAGGAGAGAGACUAAUGACUGAUAAAUGUUGGCUUCCUGUAAACAGAAAAUUACCAAAUCUGACAACUACUAUACGUAAGUAUGGUAGCACAAGAAGCAACAUGCUCCCUAUUAUCACUGAUAAGUUAAUGGAUCAGUGCUGAAAUUCAAAUAAAUAAUUUAAAAAUAAAUUCUUUGGGGGGAAAAAAAAAAGUCCUCAGCUUGAUUUAGAAUAGUUUUGUUUUUAUAAAAAACUUGAUUUCCCUCAAAUACUAUGGUUAGCUGAAGGUUUGGUGUACUUUACCACCAUAAAAUGUAGUUUGAUUAAAGAUGAUGAUCCCUGCAGAAGGAGAUCCCUUUAGAUUAAACCCUCUGCUUUUGGUUGGUGGGGUCAGGGAGAGGGUGGGAAGGAGCUGAGGGCUGAAAUGCAGCAGACUCAGAUUCAGACUCCUGCUGGUGCAGCAUAGCUAAAGUGUUACUGGCCUGUCUGAACUCUGUCUCUCCUCUCCUCUCCUCUCCUCUCCUCUCCUCUCCUCUCCUCUCCUCUCCUCUCCUCUCCUCUCCUCUCCUCUCCUCUCCUCUCCUCUCCUCUCCUCUCCUCUCCUCUCCUCUCAUUUAAAAGAUACCUUUGAGAUUCCUGCAUGAAACCAGAUCUAUGUGAGUUUUUUGGGGAGAGGCUGGAUAUUUUCUGCCUCGUCCUUGAUCCAUGUCAAAUAUGACCCAUUCUUUGUGUUGAGUUUUUCCUAUUCGUUCUUCAAAAUUUGCUUUAAUUGUGGAAUGUAUGGCAAUGGUAUAUCUAUUCUGAAUAGGUCCCUGGUAACCAGAUACCAGCUCUGAUGGAUUUGACCUAAUUUCUGUUGUGAAACCACAUUACUCCUCAUGCCCUUGGAAAACACGCUCAUUCUGGUUUCCUAUCUCAUUUCCAACUCAUUUAGAAACAGUUUUACAGCCUUUAUUUUCCUCUACAGCCCCAAGCUCCUGAAACUUUUUUUUUGUAUUAGAAAAAUUCAGUGCUUUCCAAUGGGACAAUAUUUUGCUUAUGAAAAAGGAAAACAUUUUUAGACCUGUUCUUCACAGGAUGAGCUGCUGCCCUUUGUUGUUCAUCACAGUGACUCAUGGCAGCUUCACUGCUUUUGGGAAGUACUCUCUUGCCCAGCAGGAGCAAGCCCUGUGGGUGGGGAACCUGAUGCUGGUGGGAUACUGAGAUGUACAGAAAUGGGGUAUUAUCCAUUAUGAUCGUCUCCAAAUUUCAGAUUAAUUUGUUCAUAGGGAUGAAUGCACUCAGCGUGUUUUGUUAAUCAGUUUCUUGCUUGCAUACACACUAGAUGAAACCACUGUGCUCAUUCAUGCUCAGUCCAGGAGCAGCUCUGAUGGCUCUCAUAUUUCUGUUUUCAAUCUGUGCUUCAGAAACUCUGGAAAUCUGCUAGUUACAUAGGUGUCACGUUAGUGCUUUCGGUAGCUCUUCAGUUCAGAGCUGCAUAUACCUACUGUUUGCAGUGCUUUUUACCCACAGUUUUACCUCUGACAGUAAAACAGAAGCCCUGGAACAAAGAGCUGGAGUGCAUCAUAACUCCCUUCAUUGCCCCUUGCAACUUACCACACUGCA